UAGUUAUGUGUUAUGCAUGAAUGUAGUUGUCUAUAGGCAUUGUUGUGUUGUGUUACAUGCAACAAGAGUGAUGUGGGUGAACUUCAAACCUUACGCUUCUCUAUCUGGUAUUGACUACCCGGUGCAGGUCACGAACUGCUGUUGCUCUAUUGGAAAGAUUAAAAAUUUUGCUGCAGGUUCAAAACCCUCAUAGUAUUAAAUACAAAGGGACGAUUCAGGGCUUGAAGUACAUAUGGAGGACUGAGGGUUUCAGAGGCUUGUUUAAAGGCAAUGGAACUAAUUGUGCUCGCAUAGUCCCUAAUUCAGCAGUCAAGUUCUUUAGCUACGAGGAAGCAUCAAAGGGUAUUUUAUGGCAG